rnacentral:rRNA from 1 species
UACGUAGGGGGCUAGCGUUGUCCGGAAUCAUUGGGCGUAAAGAGCGUGUAGGCGGCUUGGUAAGUCCGCUGUGAAAGUCCAGGGCUCAACCCUGGAAUGCCAGUGGAAACUGUCAAGCUAGAGUCCGGAAGAGGAGAGUGGAAUUCCUGGUGUAGCGGUGAAAUGCGCAGAUAUCAGGAAGAACACCCGUGGCUAAGGCGGCUCUCUAGUACGGUACUGACGCUGAGACGCGAAAGCGUGGGAGCGAACAGG